rnacentral:rRNA from 1 species
UACGUAGGGGGCGAGCGUUGUCCGGAUUCAUUGGGCGUAAAGAGCUCGUAGGCGGUUCGGUAAGUCAGGUGUGAAAUCUCCACGCUCAACGUGGAGGGGCCACCUGAUACUGCCGUGACUCGAGUCCGGUAGGGGAGUAUGGAAUUCCCGGUGUAGCGGUGAAAUGCGUAGAGAUGGGGGAGAACACUCGUGGCGAAGGCGGCCAGCUAGACCAGUUCUGACACUGAGGCGCGACAGCGUGGGGAGCAAACAGG